UACAGAGGGGGCAAGCGUUGUUCGGAAUUACUGAGCGUAAAGGGCGCGUAGGCGGCCUUCUAAGUCGAACGUGAAAUCCCCGGGCUCAACCCGGGAACUGCGUCCGAUACUGGAAGGCUUGAAUCCGAGAGAGGGAUGCGGAAUUCCAGGUGUAGCGGUGAAAUGCGUAGAUAUCUGGAGGAACACCGGUGGCGAAGGCGGCAUCCUGGACCGGCAUUGACGCUGAGGCGCGAAAGCCAGGGGAGCAAACGGG
rnacentral:rRNA from 1 species